rnacentral:lncRNA from 1 species
AAUAAAUAAGCUUGAGAAAUAUUAAGGAUGGGGCCACAGUUUGGGUUUUAGCAACUGAUUGGAAAGUGAUGCCAUUCACAUUGGACACGUUUAAAUUUGAGAUGCUAGUGGAACAACCAUGUAUAGACACCUACUCGGCAAUCCUGCAUAUGAUCUCAACAUCAGAAGAAAGAUGUGGGCUGAUGACACAGAACUGAGAAUAGCCAGCGUUGCCACUGGGAGUAACCAUCACAUAUGUGGCAAAAAAGGCCAUUGGCGCAGAUACAAUCACCCAGGCGGGAUGUGUAAAAUGGAAAAAGAAGGCAACCUAGAAGCAGAAUUCAACGUAUCAGAUACAGUAAUGAAGACAAUAAGAAAUUGGAUUGAUCCAGGUCUGGAGUUUUGCCACAGAGUGAAAUGGAACAACAAUAUGCAGGAGAAGUGAGGACACUGAAUUCUACUUGAAAAUUAUACAGAAACAAUUUCUUAGAAUGCUCACAAAAGACCUGAAAACAUGGGGAGGAAGCAGGGCAUUUACAGGAAGAACACCCUGGUGAUCAUCUAAUAUGAGCAGAGCCUAGUGACAGGGAAGGCAGUUAGAAGACUGUUUCAAUAGUACAAGAUCUGGGGAGCAGCCAAAGGUGAUGGUAAUGUGGAUGAAGAGUAAAGACCAGAGGAAGACUGACACAUAUUCUCAGGAUUUGCCAUCCUCUCCCUGUAAAAUGAGCAUCAUUUAGCACUGUGAAACAUAAAUUGAAGGCUAUAAAAACUGUCUACAUGAGUUAACACACCUGUAUUCAUUUCCAAUGUGUAUCAAAAGAA